rnacentral:rRNA from 1 species
GAUGAACGCUGGCGGCGUGUCUUAUACAUGCAAGUCGAGUGGGUUUAGACCCACGGCAAACGGGUGAGUAACACGUAGGUACUUUCCUUGUCACAGGAAUAACCCUCCGAAAGGAGGGCUAAUACCUGAUGUGAUCGCAAGAUUAAAGGGUAUCCGCAAGGAUUACCGGACAAGAAGAGGCCUGCGGCCUAUCAGCUAGUUGGCGGGGUAAAUGCCCACCAAGGCUAUGACGGGUAGCUGGUCUUAUGAGGAUGAUCAGUCACAUGGGCACUGAGACACGGGCCCAACUCCUACGGGAGGCAGCAGUAGGGAAUUUUGCGCAAUGGGCGAAAGCCUGACGCAGCGACGCCGCGUGCGGGAUGAAGGCCUUCGGGUCGUAAACCGCUUUUAUAAGGGACGAACUUUGACGGUACCUUAUGAAUAAGAGGUUGCUAACUCUGUG